rnacentral:rRNA from 1 species
AGCGUUGUUCGGAAUCAUUGGGCGUAAAGGGCGCGUAGGUGGUUCUGUAUGUCUACCGUGAAAGCAUACAGCUCAACUGUAUUUUGUCGGUAGAAACUGCAGGACUUGAGGCUGGGAGGGGCUGGUGGAAUUCCCUGUGUAGCGGUGAAAUGCGUAGAGAUGGGGGAGAACACUCGUGGCGAAGGCGGCCAGCUAGACCAGUUCUGACACUGAGGCGCGACAGCGUGGGGAGCAAACAGG